rnacentral:rRNA from 1 species
AUUGAACGCUGGCGGCAGGCCUAACACAUGCAAGUCGAACGGUAGCACAGAGAGCUUGCUCUCGGGUGACGAGUGGCGGACGGGUGAGUAAUGUCUGGGAAACUGCCCGAUGGAGGGGGAUAACUACUGGAAACGGUAGCUAAUACCGCAUAACGUCGCAAGACCAAAGUGGGGGACCUUCGGGCCUCACACCAUCGGAUGUGCCCAGACGGGAUUAGCUAGUAGGUGGGGUAAUGGCUGACCUAGGCGACGAUCCCUAGCUGGUCUGAGAGGAUGACCAGCCACACUGGAACUGAGACACGGUCCAGACUCCUACGGGAGGCAGCAGUGGGGAAUAUUGCACAAUGGGCGCAAGCCUGAUGCAGCCAUGCCGCGUGUAUGAAGAAGGCCUUCGGGUUGUAAAGUACUUUCAGCGGGGAGGAAGGCGGUGAAGUUAAUAGCUUCACCGAUUGACGUUACCCGCAGAAGAAGCACCGGCUAACUCCGUGCCAGCCGCCGCCGUAA